UACGUAGGGCGCAAGCGUUAUCCGGAAUUAUUGGGCGUAAAGAGCUCGUAGGCGGUUUGUCGCGUCUGCUGUGAAAGACCGGGGCUCAACUCCGGUUCUGCAGUGGGUACGGGCAGACUAGAGUGCAGUAGGGGAGACUGGAAUUCCUGGUGUAGCGGUGGAAUGCGCAGAUAUCAGGAGGAACACCGAUGGCGAAGGCAGGUCUCUGGGCCACUACUGACGCUGAGAAGCGAAAGCAUGGGGAGCGAACAGG
rnacentral:rRNA from 1 species